GAUGAACGCUGGCGGCGUGCUUAACACAUGCAAGUCGAACGGUGAAGCAGAGCUUGCUCUGUGGAUCAGUGGCGAACGGGUGAGUAAAACUGGAGCACCCUGCCCCUAACUCGGGGAUAGGCGCUGAAAACGGGGUCUAAUACUGGAAAUGAGCUGCGGCGGCAGGGUCGGCGGUGGGAAGAAUUUUUCGGUCUGGGAUGGGCUCACGGCCUAUCAGCUUGUUGGUGAGGUAGUGGCUCACCAAGGCGUCGACGGGUAGCCGGCCUGAGAGGGUGACCGGCCACACUGGGACUGAGACACGGCCCAGACUCCUACGGGAGGCAGCAGUGGGGAAUAUUGCACAAUGGGCGAAAGCCUGAUGCAGCAACGCCGCGUGAGGGAUGACGGCCUUCGGGUUGUAAACCUCUUUUAGCAGGGAAGAAGCGAAAGUGACGGUACCUGCAGAAAAAGCGCCGGCUAACUACGUG
rnacentral:rRNA from 1 species